GCGCCGGUGGUGUAAGGCGAACAUUGCUGCCCGGUAAGUAGAAGACGCGUGAUCGAGUCCCGCCUGGCGCA
rnacentral:tRNA from 1 species